GGCUGUGCCUGGACCCCUCUCAGAAGAACCUCUACAGAGAUGUGAUGCUAGAGACCUACCAGCACCUGCGGGCCAUAGGGCAGUGUGGGGUGAAGCCUGCGCUGAUCUCCUGGUUGGAAGUAGGAGACCUUGAAAGGCUGCAACGAGGCAUGUUUCCAGAUGGUGGACCACAAGUUCCGAUAGUGACAUUUCAGCAAUUUGCUUUUGGAAUGGAAUAUCUAAAAAAGUAUGAG